CGCGUAGGCGGUUUGUUAAGUCAGCUGUGAAAGCCCCGGGCUCAACCUGGGAACUGCAGUUGAUACUGACCGACUAGAGUACGAGAGAGGGAGGUAGAAUUCCAUGUGUAGCGGUGAAAUGCGUAGAUAUAUGGAGGAAUACCGGUGGCGAAGGCGGCCUCCUGGCUCGAUACUGACGCUGAGGUGCGAAAGCGUGGGGAUCAAACA
rnacentral:rRNA from 1 species